rnacentral:rRNA from 1 species
GACGAACGCUGGCGGCGUGCUUAACACAUGCAAGUCGAACGGUGACGAGGAGCUUGCUCCUCUGAUCAGUGGCGAACGGGUGAGUAACACGUGAGCAACCUGCCCCAGACUCUGGGAUAACAGUUGGAAACAGCUGCUAAUACCGGAUACGAGGCGGAGAGGCAUCUCUACCGUCUGGAAAGUUUUUUCGGUCUGGGAUGGACUCGCGGCCUAUCAGCUAGUUGGUGAGGUAAUGGCUCACCAAGGCGACGACGGGUAGCCGGCCUGAGAGGGCGACCGGCCACACUGGGACUGAGACACGGCCCAGACUCCUACGGGAGGCAGCAGUGGGGAAUAUUGCACAAUGGGCGAAAGCCUGAUGCAGCGACGCCGCGUGAGGGAUGAAGGCCUUCGGGUUGUAAACCGUCUUUCUAGCAGGGAAGAA